AACGCACGAGACCUGCGGACCUGCGGAAGGAUCAUUACCGAGUGCGGGCCCUCGCGGCCCAACCUCCCACCCUUGUCUCUAUACACCUGUUGCUUUGGCGGGCCCACCGGGGCCACCUGGUCGCCGGGGGACGUCGUCUCCGGGCCCGCGCCCGCCGAAGCGCUCUGUGAACCCUGAUGAAGAUGGGCUGUCUGAGUACUAUGAAAAUUGUCAAAACUUUCAACAAUGGAUCUCUAGAUC
rnacentral:misc_RNA from 1 species